UUAACACAUUGAAUAGUUAAAAAAAAAAAAAAGGAUUUGAGUUAUACCACUAUCGUAAAACCCUUUUGCAUUGGAUUUAUUACUGUCAGAAAAUAUAAGCUUUAUACCUUUUAUAUUAUUCACAAAAAUGUCCCCUCCUUACCUGAUCUUACAGAUCUUAUUGCUUCCUAUCCAGAGGUGGGAAUCUAUGUCUCUUUCCCUUGAAACUGGGUGGGCCUCUCACCAAUCAAAGGUGGAAGAUGUAAUGCCACAUGACCUCGGGGGCUAGGUCAGAAAAUACAACGCAGUGUCUUCCAGUCUGUCUUAGAAGAGUCAUUCCUGGAACCCCAAGCCUCUAUGUCAGUAAGAAGUACCAGGAAACCAUGCUGUGAGGAAGGCCAAAUUUGGCCAAAGAGGCCUCACGGUGGGGCCCCGAUUCUGCAUGAAAAGAGAGUGGUGCCUGGCCAACCCCCACUCUCUGACCACACUCACACAAGAAACCUGAGGCAGAGCCUACUCCCUCCCACCUCUGCCGGUCAAGCCAUUUAUGAAUUCCUGACCCAUAGAAACCAGGAGCAAUAAUAAAUUAUUUGUGUUGUGUUAAGCUACUAUGUUUUGGGAUAAUAGGUUACACAGUUUUAGAUAACAGAAAGAAGACUAUCUUCUCCCUUUCUUAAGAGACCUGUUCAAUAAGGGGCCUUGCAAUAGAUCUAUAUAGCAUAGUGAUGAGAUUCUGCCUCCAUUUCUCUGCAUCCCAUUUAGAACCAAAGAACUCAUUCCCCAAGGUGAGAGGAAUAUUGUCUGCUGAGGGCUCAUAGCUGUGUCCUUUUCCAGGAAUUGUCCUCAGCCAAAGGACAGCCCACAUCCAAUACUGGUUGGCUCAGGAUAUGAAGCUCUGGCCUCCUUGCAUUAAUUCUGGUCACACAGAAGGGUCGUCACAGCUCCAGAGUUCCUUGGUAUUAUGCCUGAACGUCUGCCUCAAUAAACUACUACACACGAAUCUCCAUUUCAAGGACAGUCUCCAGAUAACCUGAACCAAGACCGGACUUAGUCAAGGGUUAAUUACCAUGGAAAAGGAAGGUGAAGUCAGGCUCUAAGGUGUCUUUUUUCCAAAAUGAUUCAUCAUUUCACAAAGACUGUGAAGAGAAAGAUGGAAUUCAGAGAUCACUGCUAGAAUCUGAUGGCACCUCUCUGAGGCAACCCUACCUCCCCUCUGGAUGUUGCAAAGAUGCAGAAAGAUCCUGACGCAAGGCUCCCAGCUCAGUGCCAGGCUCGGAGGCUUACAGAAGAGGCAGCUGUCAUCAACUGACUCACUUUGGAGCCAUGGGAAAAGCUGUGAGAACCAACUGCCAUGUAGACCGUGCCCAAUGAACAACUCUCAGCUGAAGAGCAAAGAGCUAACUGCUUGGUCCAUGGAUGGCAGUUCCACAGGUGAGGGGACAGUCUACCUGGAAGGCCAUCACUUGGACAGAAGAAGUUUUUACUGACUCAGGGCAGUGGCCAAUGGUCUGACCAUAUGGUGGGGCAGGAAGGCACAUUGGAUAUGUUACCUAUUAAAAGGUUGCCCAUGUGGGGCACAGCCCUGUGGAAAUGAAUCUGAGGGGUGCAAUGAAGCAGGACAGGAUCCCAUCAGAACUACUUCCAGGUUUGGAAGGUGAGUGGAAUGGACAAACAGAUACCCCUGUUUUAGAUGGCUACCUGGGUCUACAAAAUGAGUGAAUAAAUACAGAGGUAGGCUGAAUCUAGACAGAGUCCUCUUGCAUUCUCUGAGACAAAAAAAUGCUAAUAUGAACUGUCUCCCAACCGGAGACAGAAAGCAUGCAAAUGGUUAUGCAGCACGUUCCCUGCUGGGAAGACCAUAAACACAGACGACGAAGGAGACUGAUGGCGACAGCUCUGGGGGCUACAGAUGAGCCUUGGCAGGAACAGACGUUGACUUUGGAUGGAGCUUUCCUUACUAAGGGGUAGGUGCAAAUGUUCAGACAGCCUAACAGAACCUGAAUAGAAGAUACUGUGCCAAUAUGGAUGGCUGAGCGUUUCUCCAGAGCAAGGAACACACCUGACAGCCCGUGUCUAGCAAUGGACACGAUGGACAGAGAUAACCUCCUUCGAGAACGAGUUUGGUCCAGAACAGAAAUGGGCAACAGAAACACAGUUGUCUGAAAAGCUGCAGGUGUAGGCAUUUAGGUGCCGGCUCACAUGAGUGUGGCACUGAGCGUGAGUGGGAUGAAAGAGAUGAAAAGCUCUCUUUUCCUGUGGAUGUGGGGCAGGGGGCAGACGAGGAUGAUGGUCUCACGCUGCAAUUCUGGCCAAGGGAGGGUGACCCUGGUAUAAUGACUUGUUCUUUCUUCCUUAGAUCACUUCAACUUUUCAUUCCCCUGUUCGAUGUUGCAAACACAGACGUGGAAACAGGGAUGACUCCUAAGCAAGAAACUCUAGGUAUGGUUUCAAACUUGACAUUACAAAGUUCCUAAGGGCCUACGGGGCAGGAUGUGCCCGCACUGUCUGUGGCAAAACUGGGUGACAGGGAGUGUGGCUACACGUACCAGUGGUGGAGACAGCCCACCAUAGGGAGGCGUCAUUUUGUUGCAUCUCGCUUUACCGCGUGUUGCUGGUACUGCACUUUUUACAAAUGGAAGGUUUGUGGCAACAGUAAGCAAGUGUAUUGGUGCCACUUUUCCAACAGCGUUUGUCAUUCUGUCUCCUAAAUACGUAAUUCUCACAAUGUUUCCAACUUUUUCAUUAUUUGUGAUCUGUGAUCGAUAAUUACAACUUGCUCGGUGCCCAAAUGAAUUUUUUUAGCAGUCA